CAUGGCCUUUGAUACAAUAGCUAACUAUUGUGAUGUCACAAGACUCAACUUUUGUCAUUUUUGGUGGGGGUUGGGGUACAGAAUGUGACAAAGGGCUAGAACAGAAUAAAGUUAUAGAACUGGAAUUUGCUUUUUCAUGCUAAUUUCCCUGGUAAUGAAGGGCAGUGACUCAGAAAAGGAAAGGCAAGCCACUGGCAGGCAGCAAGGCUGUACAUAGACUGUCCAUAUCAAGGGAGAGGGGUAGGGGUUGGGGGCAAAGGCAGAAAGAAGACAAAACAAAGUUUUCACUUUUAGGGUUAGCCAGCCAGAUAUGAAGAUGUUCUGAGUCUGGCCAAGUCCAGGACCUUCUCUUUCCAUCGGCCAUUGCUUGGGCCCAGAGAAAACACAGAAAAAAAGAAACGCAGGAAAGGCUCCAGGCUGGAGUGUUCCCUGGAACUUAAUGUUUGGGAUACUGUAUUGAGUUCUGGACUCCACACUGUCAAAUGGACAGACUCAGUUUGGACCGCAUCCUGAGGACAGCAACCGGGAUGGAGGGGGCACUCAGAGGCAUGUGAUGGGAGAAAUGACUAAAGGAAUGGAGAAUGUUUACCCUGGAGAAGGCAAGACUGGGGAUGGAGGAAGAGGAUAAUUGCCUUGAGAAUUCCGAAAGGCUCUCAUGUGAAAAAGGGAUUAUAUGUGUUUUCUACGGCCCCCAAAGAGACCUCAGACAUAAGAAGAUCCAGAACGGAGAAAAUGAGGAAGAAUUUUUUAGUCUUAAAUUCCAAUUAAAGACUUUAAGUUCUUUUUAAUUACCAAUGUUCUCAAUUACAAACUAUGCUCUUGAAGACAAGGACUAUCUUGUUCACCGUAGUAUAUCCCAGAACUCAGGGUAAAUAGCACACAGUAGGUGCUUAUUAAUAGUUGUCAAAUAGAUGAAUUAAUGAAGCAAUAGCAAUGGUCUGAAGUUGUUGGUGUUCAUAGGGACUCACUCCAGAAAGUAUUCACUUCCAGAAAGUAUUUUUUGAAUCCCUACUACAUGCCAUUCACUUAAUUAAGAUGCUAUGGACACAGCAGUGAAUAAGGUAGAUAAACUUAGUCUAUCUCCCCUCUCGCCCUGCUUUGUAGUUUAGCACAGAUGGCAUGUAAGGUCCCUUCCAUAUUCAGAUUCCUUGGUUUCAGAAUUGACUAAAGAAUUUGAAACUGAGAGGAAAGAAGACCCCAAAGGCCACAGAUGAACCCUACCUACCACUUCUACUGCUACUUAAAAAGCCUAGAAAUCUAGACUAAGCUAAGGCUGCCUUUUCAGCUGCGGAGGGGCCUCCCACUGAGAGACAGCAGGGUGCUCGACCAGAUCAGACCAGAGCAAGCCACCAGGCUGAACAUUUAUUAAAGCCCCCGUUUCACCACCACCUGGUAAAGUAGGCUUCUACGUGAACCCAAGCUCCCUCAAGCCAGCAAUAGAUCUUUCCGAAUGGAGAUCAACACAGCUCAACAGACAUGCUAAUGCUCAGCACAAAGACAGACUCAAAGCACCCUGCUCUCCUGAGUCCUUGCAGCACCAUGUUUCACACUUGGACCUCAGUAUGAAAAUUAAUAAAAAGAAACUUCAUUUAAAAUGGAGUCAGGAGGCCAGAAGUGGGAGCUCUCACAAUUGCAGGCCCAAAAGUAAGUCCACACUACUUCAGCUACUUUACUAGACCAGCAGGAAGAAGAAAGGUUUUUCUCUUCUCCCAGCAACAGCCCAGCCAAUGAGAGGUCACAAUUCAGCCAAUGAAAAACCACUAUACUCCAAUGGACUUUUUGUUUAUAACAGCCCCUCCCAAUUUCCCCUUUUCCUCAAUAAAAGAGUGUUCCUCUCC